AGGUUGUUGAGAGACAGAACAGUUUGACUUGAGCACUAACUUUCUCAUUCUUAGCAAGUUUCAUAUCAGAGGUUUUGUGAUAUUUUCAAAAGAAAGCUUAAAUGUUCCUCUUAUGGUUCUCUCAUGUCACUCAAAUGGUGUAUGAUUCCUCACCAAGGCAUAUGGUAAGAGUUACCUUCUCUAUUUCAUCCUAUUUCUAAAAGGCUUAUGUGGAGUUCAAGGUAGGGAUGAAAGGAGAUAGCAUACUUACUUUGCAUAUAUUGCGAAGUCAAAGCUCGGAUCCUUGAAGAGAAGUGUCAUACUCCCAGAUCAAGAUGUGCAAGUGUGAUAUAUGGUGGACU
rnacentral:lncRNA from 1 species